rnacentral:lncRNA from 1 species
AGGGACACGCGGAUUCGCGCGUCACAGUGACCCCCACCGUCUCCUGGGAGAUGGGACACUGAGGCUUGGUAAAGCAGGUGAAGCAGGAGGCAACAGUGGGUCGGUGUCGAGGCUCCCACCUGACCUCUCCAGGGGGUCGACAGGAGGUUUCCUGGAUGCCAGGAAAAUGCCAGGGGUGGCGGAAAGUGACAGGGAUGAAGAAACCUCAGGUGGAGUUUCAGAGAGCGGGAUCUCAGCCUCAGGCAGGCCCAGACGGUGUGUGGUGUACUGUGUAGUUUUCCAGAGGCUAAAUGACAUGUUACACCGAAGCCAACUAAAUAUCAAAGAAGAUAUGAGUAUCCACCUGCAAAAUUGGAUGGAAUCCAAUUUCAUCUAUUAAGAUACCAAAAUAAUUUCCCUUUCUCACCUUGAAAUGACCUGAGCUAACAGAAGAAAUUUUCCUGCAUUGCUUAUG